GUCCAUCCAUCACUUGCAGAAAACAAAAGAGAGCAAGAGAGAAGACAGUGGGUGAAGUCCUGGUUCCAGACUCCCCUUUUUGCCGGGAUAUGAUGGAUCUGUCAGCUGGUGCCUAGAGUCCUAGAGAGCUAGAGAUGGAGGGAAAUUCAGAUCAUCUAAACCCUUCAGCCCUUCACUGGACAGAAGAGGAAACUGAGGCUCCAUCUGCAUGACGUUCCCAGAGUCACGGCACAAAUUCAUGGAAGAAGCAGCAGGAAACUCAGUUCUCCAGUCUGGGUCCAAUGUGUGUUUUAGAAAUAUCUCCACAGGGUUAAUGACUCAAUUUUUCAUGCAUGAUUGCUAGUAAUGACAAUCAUGUUAUGUUUGUUUCUGUAGCUUUGGAAAUCACUCCUUCCACUUGAGUUUCAGGUCCCAACUGUCCACACCUGCAGGAGUGAGGUUUUGCUGAGACUGAUAAGGCACUCACAUUUUGUGGGAGUUGAAUUGUCUCUGUAGCCUAGAAUCUAGAUUUUUUUCCCUCCUCUGCUCUCAGUGAACGGAGAAUUCCAUCUCGGUACAAUCUGUGAACCAUUCUGCAGUAAGAUUGUCAUCGUCUCAUUCAUACUACCUGGUCGGUAACACAAAGGGCUGUAAUUGAUGUGGUUCAGAGACUCACAUCCAAGCAAUAAAAAUGAAUCCCUUAUGGUGGUCUGCAGCAACGCAAAAAAAAAAAA
rnacentral:lncRNA from 1 species